ACACGCAUGACACACUGCAUAUCAAUAAGCGGAGGAAAAGAAACUAACAAGGAUUCCCCUAGUAACGGCGAGUGAAGCGGGAAGAGCUCAAAUUUGAAAUCUUAAAGGGUUUCCCUUGACGAAUUGUAGUUUAAAGAAGUGUUUUCUGUUAGAGAGGUUUGGUAAAAGUUCUUUGGAAUAGGACAUCAUAGAGGGUGAGAAUCCCGUAUUUGAUCACUUUACUUCAACGUUGUGAUACACUUUCAAAGAGUCGGAUUGUUUGGGAAUGCAGUCCAAAAUGGGUGGUAAAUUUCAUCUAAAGCUAAAUAUUGGCGAGAGACCGAUAGCGAACAAGUACCGUGAGGGAAAGAUGAAAAGAACUUUGAAAAGAGAGUUAAACAGUACGUGAAAUUGUCAAAAGGGAGGCGUUUGACACCAGUGUUGUUUUGCUGAGAAAUCAAUGUAGGAACGGGUUGUAUGCUAGGCUGUUGAGACCUUAUCAGCUAUCCUUUACUCUUUGAGCUUUUCCGUUAAUGCACUUUUCAUUUAACAAGUCAACAUCAAUUUCUUUUGCUGUAAAAAAGCUUGAGGAAGGUGGCUUGAGAUUCGUCUUAAGUGUUUAUAGCCUCUUGCCUAUGCAGUCGGAGAGAUUGAGGUCUGCAGCGUAGAUCCUUCGGGGCUAAAUGCAUUUGUGCUAAGUUAUAGCAUUUUAUAGACAACUUGUUGACUAUGAUUUGUCUUGUAGCUUACUCGCUUAUGUUAUUUUACCUACGCUUAGGAUGUUGACGCAUGAGAUAUACGC
rnacentral:rRNA from 1 species